AGGACGAACUGGUUCCCGUACCAUCACCGAAGUUAAGCAAUGUCGAGCCUGGUUAGUACCUUGACUAGUGACCGCUUGGGUAUAUCAGGUGCUGUAAG